rnacentral:SRP_RNA from 1 species
CGCAGGGUCCCGUCCGAUCACGAGCCUCGCGAACUCCGUCAGGUCCGGAAGGAAGCAGCGGUAGUGGGGAUUCGGUUGCGGGCGGGGUGCCCUGCGAUC